CCUUGGCACUUCUUCCUUCUGCCUAUAACAAUUCCUCCAAGUAUCCACAGGCUUCCUCUUUCACUUCCUUUGUUGCGUUGGCUCAGAUAUCGCCUUAUCUGAGUGCCCUUCCUUAACUAUACAAUACAAAAUAAGUUCAUGAAUCUGCCCUCACCCCUACAUUCCCUGUUUCCUUUACCUUGUUCUAUUUUUCUAUAACAUUUACCUGACAAAUCUUAUGUUUGUUUAUUGUCACUCUUCUUCCAGAAUGUAAGCACUGUGAAGUCAAGGACUUUGUUAGUUUUGAUCACUAUUGUAUCCAUGGGUUCUAAAGCACUGCCUGGCACAUAGUUGGCACUCAGUAAGCUAAGAAAUAAUAAGACUAACAUAUUGGGAUUGUGGCAAGGAGUUUCUGGUGAUGGCUGGUUAUGAAAACUUGAAGAAACAAAAUAAUGGCUUUUUUUAAGUGAAGAACUAAAAAAACAUUGAACUUCCAGGCCAGUUUUUGGAUAAAAGUCUAUAACCAGGGAGGGAAAUGGAAUACUGGAACAAAAAGCUGCCUGUGCUGAGACAGCAGUUGCUGAUACCACAAACACUUGUCUGCUGUUUCUGUGGCCUGGCUGAGCCAAGAAAACAUGUUAAAGCACAGAGCCCACGCAAGACAGUGUGCUUGCAGGAGACCCUACCAACAGGAAUCGGAUAACAAGGAGCUAAAGAGCCUAAUGGGAGGUGACUGGAUCAUGGGAGCAGAGUUCUCUUGGAUGGUUUAGCAUUAUCCCCUUGGCGCUGUCUUUGCGGUACUUCUAGCAAGAUCUGGCUGUUUAAAGUAUUGGCUGGAGUUGGCGAUGACUCAGCAGAUCAAGGCUGGAAGACUCAUUCUCGUCAGGUGGUUGACGUUGGCUGUCAGUUGGAACCUCACCUGGGGCUGUUUGCCAGAACACCUACACAUGGCAUGUCCAUGGAGCUAUUUGACUUCCUCACUGCAAUGGCUGGGUUCCAAGAGCAGUUAUCCCAAGAGAACAAGGCAGAAGUGCAUGACUUUUAGAAUCUUGUCUCACAAGUCACACAGAGUCACUUCCACCAUCCCCUGUUGGUCAAGGAGGACAUGAAGGUCUUCCUAGGAGCACGGGGAGAAGACAGACUUCUACCACCUGUUGGAAGGAGUGUCAGUGUUACAUAGCAAGAGAAGCACAUGGAAUGGGAUGUAUUGUGAUGCCCAUCUUUGGAACAGACAAUUUGGCAUAUCUGUGAAAAUUAAAAGUCUGAUUUGGAUAUAACAAAUGAGACUGAUUAGCAAAGAUGUCUAAUUAUAAAAGUUAAAGUUAAAUUCCAAAUAUACUUUUUUUUUUUGCCAAAGACCAAAGACUAGGUUA
rnacentral:lncRNA from 1 species